CCUACGGGGUGCAGCAGUGGGGAAUAUUGCACAAUGGGGGAAACCCUGAUGCAGCUACGCCGCGUGAGUGAAGAAGUAUUUCGGUACGUAAAGCUCUAUCAGCAGGGAAGAAAAUGACGGUACCUGACUAAGAAGCCCCGGCUAACUACGUGCCAGCAGCCGCGGUAAUACGUAGGGGGCAAGCGUUAUCCGGAUUUACUGGGUGUAAAGGGAGCGUAGACGGCAGCGCAAGUCUGGAGUGAAAUCCCAUGGCUUAACCAUGGAACUGCUUUGGAAACUGUGCAGCUAGAGUGCAGGAGAGGUAAGCGGAAUUCCUAGUGUAGCGGUGAAAUGCGUAGAUAUUAGGAGGAACACCAGUGGCGAAGGCGGCUUACUGGACUGUAACUGACGUUGAGGCUCGAAAGCGUGGGGAGCAAACAGGAUUAGAUACCCUUGUAGUC
rnacentral:rRNA from 1 species